rnacentral:lncRNA from 1 species
AAAGUGUCAUGACCUACUUUUGUUAAUUUACUAAAUUUGUAAAAGAAAAAGAAAAUGACCAUUUUCGUACUCAAUUUUUGUUAGGACAAAUAAUAAUUUACACUAAUUUACACUAUAUGAGAGGAGGGUUUGAAAUUGGAACACAAUAUCACUAGGGCUUCACCACUUAUCCAAAUAUAUUUUAACCGAGUAAAAAAUAUUGUCUAUUCCAUUAAAAAAAUGUUUUUUUGGCCAAAAUGGUUUUUGAGAUGGACAUCUUUUUAUUUUUGUCCCUAAGUUUGUCCACCCUUAAUGAAAAAUCUUCGUAAACUAAGGACCAAAAUGACAACAACAAAAAUUCGUCAGUUUUUGUCAUUUGAUCCUUAUUUAUCGAAGAUUUAUUACGCAAGGAUUAAAAUGAUUGAGGGUGGGACAAACUUAGAGACCACUUCUAAUGAUGUCAAAUCUCAAAAAUUAAAAUGAAGAAUUAUGUCAUUCUCAGGAAUCAUCUUGGUUAAAAAGCCUUAAAUAAAUUGAAUUUAAGAAAAAUAAACAAAUAAAUGUCUCUGUUUACAUACUCUCCUGUUUCUUAGGACAUCAAUUUCCCAAUCCUAUUGGGAUUAGGAAAAAUUCCUAAACCGCGCACCGCCAAUCCCAACCCUCAACUAUAAAUAGACUUUAGCCUUCCAUUAAUUACAUUACAAGCUACAAUUUCCAGUUCAUUCGCUUUCCGCAUUCGAUUGCUCUGCCAAGUAGUAGUUGCUUAGAAAGCAAGUUAGGGUUUCCAAGUUAGAAAUCUACGACUUUGGAAUCGGAAGAGAUGGCUGCUCUAGUUAUGCGUCCUGCCAAGACGAAGCAAUUCGACUUCCUUCAACUCAGGCAGCAACUGAAAGAUCGCAUUCGCAUGAAGAAAUCAGGAGGCUCUGCUGCUGCUCAAGGCUGCUCGGUUAAUAGUACUACUGAUGAUGAGGAGAAGAAAUUGCCUUUCGACAACUUUGGAUCCUUCUUUGGUCCCUCGGAGCGUGUCAUGGCCAAGAGAGUGCACGAAGAGAUGAAGGAUUUCGUGCCGGAGUUGAAGAAGUUGGCGUCUAGGGUUCUGAAUUCCUGUGACAAGGCUAAAACCGCCGCAAAGAGUCCUGCCCCCUUGAGCAAGGCAUUGAAGUGUAAAAUCAUCAAGGAGUCCCGGGAUUAUUCCUUUUUGCAAUCCGAUGGUGCAGAAAUUCCAAAGCCGUCUAAAGGAGAGCCUGAAGAAGUUGGCAAGAGAAAAACCUCCUCUGCAAAGUCUGAAUCCUCUUCAACAAAGCAAUGUAGCACAAAUCCAACGCCAAAACAAAAGAAAUCUGUCUUGAAACAUCCAAUCAAAUAUCGCGUGAAGGAGGAGCAUCCGGAGGCUGUGAUUGGCAAAGCCUCCUUGGCAAAGUCAGAAUCUUGUUCAACAAAGCAAGGCUUGAAGCAAACAAAGCAAUCUAUUGAGCUGAAACGCACAGCAAAACCGAUGCCACCGAAAGUAUCUGUCUCGAAGAAUCAGGUCAAACACCGUGUCAAGGAGGAGCAAUCAGUUGAUGUUUCUUCUGUGAUCCAGGAGAUAUUUGGGCGUAACCGCAAGCGCCCUAGGGAGGAUGAUGACGGAGAUGGUCGUGCGAUGGUGUCCAGUUUUGAUGACAUUCUGAAGGAAGAGAGGAAGAGUGCAAAAAUUGCCAGGGAGGAAGAUGAAAGAGAGCGGUUGCUGCUCGAACAAGAGGAGAAGCAUGAAGAAGGAUUAAAAGCAACAAAGAAGCUGAAGAUUAAUAUCAAAUUAUCCAAAACAUGAUGUUGUUCCAUUUAGAUUUUGGAGAUUUCAUUUAUUCAGAUAAUUGGAUUUCAAUUCCUUAAUAACAAGUUCUUUUUAAGGAAAUUGAUCUUAAUGUAAGAUCUUUAAGGAAAUUAUUGAUAAGAGUAGAAGUUUCAAGUAUUUUUAUUUGUGUCUAUUGGGUUAAUGAUUCGGAAAAAUCCGUAAGCAUCUACCCUUUUUUUGGGUCAUUGUCCUUUGUGAAGUGAACUAGUUGCUUUUAGAACAAGUCACGGUUUCAAAAUUUGAAAUUUAACUCUUCUUGGGAUGGGAAAACAUGGCUUCUGAAAUUUCGCAUCUUUCUGAUGCGGAGCAGUUCUUUCUCCAGCUGAGGCAGCAAAUGAAAGAGAGCAUUAGAGAACAUAACAUGUAAAAAUUAGGAGGCUCUGCUGCUGCUCAGGGCUGCUAUGACAGUUACAAUAACAAGAAAUUUCCUUUCGACAAGUUAUCUAGCCUUUUAAAUCUGGAGACUUGGUAUUCCUCCUUGCUAGCAGUACUGGAUGAAAAACCAUUCUUGAACGAUAAUCAGGUUAAAAACAAUAUGAUUAAGGAAACAUAUAAGGACGCAAUCAUAAGCGACAUAGGGAGGAUGACGACAGCAAGAACUAAAAAGGAGAGUGGCAACAAUCAAGAAAACUCCAUCUUCGUCUUGUUCCAGCAUUCCUUGUGCCACAAGUAAUGUUGAUGUUAAAUAAUUGGAAAAAUGUGGAGGACUGUUUCGUCCAUCUGAGCCGCUGACUCAUCUAUCCAAAUUAUCCGUGAUUUCUGAUAACAUUUCUGUUGUUGGUGGGAGAGGGCGGGCUGCUUGUAGAGAUUAUCCGCAUUCAAGGCACCUCUGUGUGAAAUUCCUUUUCAAAACAACGCCUCAUGAAAGCUACUGCGAAUUGUGCUACUGCUACGUUUGUGAUUCACCCGCUUCGUGCAGGUUUUGGCAGGUUCUAAAAGUCGCUAGGCGCUAGUCGGGCGGCAGGCUGGGGCCUAGCGCCUAGGCGGCUAGGCGGGGUCUAGGCGGGCGCCUAGGCGGACUAGGCAGAUUUAAGUAAAUCUAUCAUAUUUCAUGUAAAUAAGUGUCUGCUUCUACUUGAAAUAUAUAUAAUUUCAUCAUAAACUACAAAAUAGAAUGCAUAUAUAUCAUGAAGUAUUGGAACAUAAUGAAAGCAUGUGAAAUAAGGAUAUAAUGUUUGUUCAUUCAAGUAUGCAACAAGUCUCUUACAAUUUAUUGGAAAAAAACAAAAUGCAAAAUGAAAGUUAUGUAUUUUCUGUCUUGGUGAGUUGCAACCUAAGCGAGUCUAGGCGGGUGCCUAGGUGGGCUAGGCGGGUGCUUAGGUGGUCUAGGCGGUGGGCUGGGGCCUAAGCAUUAAUCGGGGCGGUGGGCUGGGGCCUAGCGCCUAGGCGGGGCCUAGGCGGCGCUAGACGGGGAUUUUUAGAACAAUGGGUUUUGGAAACCAACACGUUGUCAUACUUCUGAGCACAUUGGUGACUGGAAGUCCAGAAGGAAGUUGAGGAACAGCAAGUGACGCGGGGACGACGCCGGCUAAGAAAUGAACAAACUUGUUCAUUAGGCCAAAUACAUUGCAGUUAAUGGUGGUAAGGUGCAAAUAACUUUGUUUAUACUUCUAAUAUGUAUGACUUGAGAAGAUGUAGUAGUAGUUACUACUGAAUUUCUUUCUGAUAUAUAUCGAAUCGAAUUCGAUUUGUUCAGUUAUAUAAUGAAAUUAUUGACCUAAGUUGUCUAAUUAUUAAAUGUUUUUGUCUAUAAAAAUGAGGGUCAUUUCCGUUCAUCUGAUAGUUGGGAGUGAGUUGGUAUGUUAUUUUUGUUGUUGAAAAAUUAUGUGUAAGAAUAAUGCCCUGAGGACAGAGUUAAUUUUUUUUUAUUUAAAAAAAGUAUAUAUUUAUAUACCAACCAAUUACGACAUGUCGUUCUAAGUGAAUUGAAGUCGUCUCGCUCCUAAAACCCUAAACCCUUCUCCACACAGUCCCCUUCAGUUCCGUUCCCGCUGAGCUUUUACCAGAAGCAGCCAUGGCCUCAAUCCUCUCCAAGAAGCAGAAGCAGAAGCAAAAAGCCACCAAGCUUUCCGACCUCAAAACCCUAGGGAACGAGCUCCUCUCGUCUCGGGCCCACAUCAACAACCUCCCCAAGCUCCUCUCCUUCGUUUCCCCGGCCUCGCCGCCUCAGUAUAUCGUCGAGUCCCUCCUCUCUCUCCAGUCAUUCUUCACCCCUCUCCUCCCCGACCUCCCUCCCUCCUCCUCCAAGCCCUCCGCCUCCGAUGGCUCCCACGACGACCCCGACUUCAUAUACCGAACCUGUCUCCGCUCCAAGUUCGACGAGCUCGUUGAGGUCCUCGUCGAAGUCCUGCUUUCUACGCAAUCCGAUGAAAUUCUCAAGGUCGCUUUUUGAUUUUUUGAAUGUCAGUUCUUUUCUCUUUUGGUUUUGUAUAAGUAUGAUUUCGAUUUUAGAAUUCGAUUCUCUGAAUGUGAUUAGGAGGUGGUGUUGGACACGAUAAUGGAGUUUGUGAUGUUCGGAAAUGGCGGAAAGUUUCACUCUGCAAUGUACCAUAGGCUGCUUCGUAGUAUUGGAAGUUGUAUUGAUUCUCCAAAAGCUUAGUUUGAGUUUUAUUUUUUCAUAUUUCUCUGUUGUAAUUUCAAUAGUAAGCUAUAAUUUUUUUUGUUAUCGCUGAUAGGUUUACACUACGUCACCAGUUGAUUUGUUGUUAGACUUGCUUUCAUCCAAGUAUUUCAAGUAUAUUGAUGUCCGGUAAGAUCACAUUCCAUUGAUUUUAGGAAUUAUGAUAUUUCUUAGGACUUCUAUUAUUUGUUGGAACCUUUAUUGUGGAAAUUUGUGGUACUGGCCACUUAAAAAGUGCAAUAAUUGUGGCAUCUAUUUCUUGCAGUUAUUUUACCUACAUUAGCUUGGAAAAGCUUUCCAAAGUUCUGGAUGCAAAUGGGAUUUCUGGUACUUUCUGCUGUGUUUCUUGCAAAAACUUAUGUUUUUCAUCUUUUCGAGUGAGGGUAGUGGCGAUGUUAUAGUUAACUUAGUAGGUUUGUUCAUUUCUAUCUCCCUCUUAGAGGAUAAAAACAUCAAGACAGACGGUAAAGAUGUGGAGCAUCCUAGGGAAAGGUUAGUAUAACGCUAUCGCUUAGGAAAUUUCUGUUCUCUUAUUCUCUCAUUGAACUUCUCUUGUUAAGAGAUGUACAUGACCCUAAUAUAGAAUGUGUUGCCUUCUGUGCUCUGAUUGAGUCAGACAUAAUGGCAAGUGUUGAAGUUAUUGUUACAUUCUGCAUAUGCAGAUUGUUGACAAUAUGUGUAGAUGUUUUGGUCUCAGAUCAAGAUUUCUUGGAAUUAAACAUUUUACUUUUACGUUACUUGGAUCUUUGUAUACCUUUAUGUAAUAUUGGAUUCUUCCUUGACUCAAAGUCCAUUUUCAUCUGUGCUAUUCUUUUAUUUUGUAAUCGAGUCAAUGAAUUUAUGUUUAGCAUGCAUAUGUGUUGGAUUAACUCCGCCUAUGUCUUACAUGGCCGGUCCCAAGCCCGGAUAAAGGAGGAGGGGGAGGGCGUCAGGUAGUCGACAGCCGGCACUCCAUGAUCACGUCGAAUCCUUAUGAAAAUGAAUCCAGGCGUUCUAAGAUUCAUAUAGCCGAUCCCACUCAGUGACUUGGAUUUUCCAAGUCUCCAACCGAGAAGUUUUCCUCACUCGGGAAAUUAAGGGAACACUACCCCAACCUACAUGCUCCACUCAGAAAGCUUCAACAUACAAGCUUUAACAAAAGAAAAUUCAAAGAACUUAGCGAAGAAGGCUUUGGUGUAUUUAACACAAUACGUUGAAAUGAAGGAAAGCUUAUUUAUUGAUAUCCCCGAUAAGCUACAAAUAUGUACAUAUACAUGAGUCAAAAUAAGCACACAAGAGGGAGCCUUCACAAAGGUUGCUUAGGAGAAGUCUCAGCAGUCGGUAGAGCCCCAGAAAGAGAAGGCACCGGAGGGGGAUCAUUUGGAGCCUCAGUACUGGACAGAACCCUAGAAGGAGGAGGCAUCAGAGGUUGAUCAUUUGGAGCUUCAUUACGCGGUACAGCCCCAGAAGACGAAGGCAAUAAAUGCCUUUGGAACAAACCCACAAAUCUCUGAUGAUCAAGUAAAACCUGACCAUCAGUUUCCUUCAUCUGGUCAAGCUUCCUCUUCAUGUUUGUAGCAUAGUCAUGUGCGAGCCGGUGCAAUUGUUUAUUCUCAUGCUUGAGCCCUCUAAUCUCCUGUUUGAGACUCAUCACUUCAGCCGCCAAUGAUUCAACUUGGCGGGUUCGAGCAAAAUAGGCGUUGGGCCAUAUUAGACACAGAACCUGCACACUGAACACUGAGAGCCAGCGAAUCCUUAACAGCUAACUCAUCAGACCGUUUGGAAAGUAGUCUGUUAUCUUUGGGAGUGAGAAGGUUCCUGGCCACCACCGCAGCGGUCAUAUCAUUCUUCAUCACGGAAUCCCCAACGGUAAGAGGACCAGUAGGGGAGACGAAGGAUGGGCGCCAUAUGUUGUCUGGAGAAGGCGGGGCUGCCUCUUCAACAAGGUUCAAGUCAAAACGACGGUCGGAGGGGCCAGACAUUUUCAAAGGUGUUGAAGAGAGAAGAGGUCGGACAAAUCAAGAUCUUAGAAGUGCAAGAAUGAAGCUUCUACUGGUGGAGAUUCAAGUGUGCUUUGGAACUUAAUGCCAGCCCCUAUAAAAAUCUGCACUCGACGAAGCUUCAGAAAUCGAAGAGGCGCCUGCUCAGAAAUCGAAGAGGCGUUUGCUUUCUCAAAAGCUGGGCUGCUUAGAGAUCACGAGGGUUGAUCUCAGAAAUCGAAGAGGCGUUUGCUUUCUCAAAAGUUGGGCUGCUCAAAGACCACGAAGGCCGAUCUCAAAAAUCGAAGAGGCGCUCGCUUUCUCAAAAGCUGGGCUCUCCCAGAGACCACGAGGGCCGAUCUCAGAAAUCGAAGAGGCACCUACUUUUCCAGCCUUUUCCAGCCUUGUCAGCACUUGUCACACGCACACUCAGUUUUGCGGAAAUUAUGGGCAUUCUGUCAAAGACUUCUGGGGAAGUAGAAAACACAUGAAUCUUACUGUUCAAUCACCCACUUCCCACACGCAACAAUAGCUCAUGGGUACCACAGAUAACUUUGCCAAAGUUCUCUGCCAAAGUUGAGCACGUGAAGCUUGCAGCUCCCACUACAUCGCUCUGACCAAGAAGGGUAAAAGAAUAGCAAAGAAACAGCACUAACAAAGUUUAGACCCAUAAACUUUGAAGGUCUAGCUACCAUAUUAUUACCCACAAGGGUAAAGGUAAAGGAACAGUACCACUGCUGGAUAAUUGGAAAGUCCCUGUGUGUCAACCUCUGUGCUUCGUGGCAAGGUAGACUAGCAAACAUGCCCAACCUUUACUCACAUUCGAGAAAACACUCCCAAUAAGAUUGCUUGCUCCAAAAUCGAAGAGGCACCGUCCUCCGAAUCUCGAGAGCCAGACUCCCAACAUGACUACUUUCUUAAAAAUCGAAGAGAGGGUAAAGGAACAGUACCAUUGUUGGAUAAUUGGAAAGUCCCUGUGUGUCAACCUCUGUGCUUCGUGGCAAGGUAGACUAGCAAACAUGCCCAACCUUUACUCACAUUCGAGAAAAACACUCCCAACAAGAUUGCUUGCUCCAAAAUCGAAGAGGCACCGCCCUCCGAAUCUCGAGAGCCAGACUCCCAACAUGAUUACUUUCUCAAAAAUCGAAGAGACACUGCUCCCCGAAUCUCGAGAGCCAGACCCCCAGCAUGAUUGCUUUCUCAAAAAUCGAUGAGGCAUCGUUCUCCGAAUCAAUCGAAGAGGCGCUCGCUUUCUCAAAAGCUGGGCUGCUCAGAGACCACGAGGGCCGAUCUCAGAAAUCGAAGAGGCACCUACUUUUCUAGCCUUGUCAGCACCUGUCACACGCACACUCAGUUUUGCAGAAAUUAUGGGCAUUCUGUCGAAGACUUCUGGUGAAGUAGAAAGCACAUGAAUCUUACUGUUCAAUCACCCACUUCCCACACGCAACAAUAGCUCAUGGGUACCACAAAUAACUUUGCCAAAGUUCUCUGCCAAAGUUGAGCACGUGAAGCUUGCAGCUCCCACUACAUCGCUCUGACCAAGAAAGGUAAAAGAAUAGCAAAAGAAACAGCACUAACAAAAGUUUAGACACAUAAAUUUUGAAGGUCUAGCUACCAUAUUAUUACCCACAACUGUAAAGGAACAGUACCACUGGUGGAUAAUUGGAAAGUCCCUGUGUGUCAACCUCUGUGCUUCGUGUGGCAAGGUAGACUAGCAAACAUGCCCAAACCUUUACUCACAUUCGAGAAAAACACUCCCAAUAAGAUUGCUUGCUCCAAAAUCGAAGAGGCACCGUCCUCCGAAUCUCGAGAGCCAGACUCCCAACAUGACUACUUUCUCAAAAUCGAAGAGAGGGUAAAGGAACAGUACCAUUGCUGGAUAAUUGGAAAGUCCCUGUGUGUCAACCUUUGUGCUUCGUGGCAAGGUAGACUAGCAAACAUGCCCAACCUUUACUCACAUUCGAGACAACACUCCCAACAAGAUUGCUUUGCUCCAAAAUCGAAGAGGCACCGCCCUCCGAAUCUCGAGAGCCAGACUCCCAACAUGAUUACUUCCUCAAAAAUCGAAGAGACACUGCUCUCCGAAUCUCGAGAGUCAUACCCCCAGCAUGAUUGCUUUCUCAAAAAUCGAAGAGGCAUCGUUCUCCGAAUCUCGAGAGCCAGAUACCACAGACCACUUUUUCAAAGUGCUCUGACAGAGUUAAAACAUGUGAAACUGGCAGCUCCCACUACCGUGCUAUGACCAAGCAGGGUAAAGGAAUAGCAUUACUACUUGUUGUUAGGGAGACUCCUAUAUAUGUCGACCUCCAUCCCCAACGGACAGGCAGACCUGCAAAAAUGCUCAACCCUUCAUCAUAUCUGAGAGGGCACUCCCAACGAAGCCUUUCGAAAUAUUCAGCUUUCUUUCCCCCCGAUAAUACCUCUGCAAACAAGCUAUACUAGAGCAAGAAUAUCUCAUAAUCAUCAGGGUUAAAAGCAAGAGUAUCCCAUAUCAUGCUUUUUUCCCUGUCUUUUUUCUUUUGGCCUUGUUUUUUACCUGCAAGACAAGGAGAAAGAGAGCAAUCAGUCAGCACUUGGAAUCAAGCUUCCAGCCAGGAACUGACUGCCUGGAACCCCUUACCUGAUUACUUACCUGGCAUUGCUCUCGAGUACUCAUCUUCAACAUCUUUAUGUUUCCAGGGAAGAUUCCGCAUCUGCUUGAGGAACAGAUAGGGCAAGUGCGAAGGAUACAAGGAAGCAUGUGGAGACAAGCGUAACAGCACACGUGCCGAUACAUUCAUUACUCUGUCAAAAGCAAAAGUAUCCCAUAUCAGCAGGGUGGAACGUACUCUAGAUUUGAUGGACUUGUUUUGACCCUCAAAUUCUUCAGUCGACCUUAUACUCUGGAGGAAACCAGAAAACCCUCCAGCUCAGUUCAAGAAUAAGCCUGUGGAAAGUUACUUCUUCAAAAGCAAAAGUAUCUCAUAUCAUCUCUUCUCAUUUUUCUUCUCUUUAUCCUUCAUGCUGCUGCUGCAAGAUGGGGAGAAGGUGAAUAAUCAGUCGGAGCUCUGAUUGCUUACCUUGUCUGUCACCUCUUUCAGCAGACCCCCUAGCUCGGCGACUUGGGGGACUCCUACUACAUGGUUUGUAUCGCGCUUGACCAAGCCUGAAACUACAAGUAAGCUUCAAGUGAAAUUGAUACAUUACCUUGUGGCAUCUCCACCAGUUAAAGAUACCACCCCUGGAUGGAGGAAGAGUACUUCCAGAGAAGAUGCCACAUCUACCUAUGAGACAGAUAAGGCAAGUCAAGACGACACCACACUCCGAUACUUAGAAGUUUCGUGAUUACGAGAUCAUUCUCCCACAAUAUUUCCUAAUGUCAUUUGUACUAAAUCAUUCACUUGUACUCACUAAAUGAGAGCUUGAACCUAUGUACUUGUGUAAACCCUUCACAAUUAAUGAGAACUCUUCUAUUCCGUGGACGUAGCCAAUCUGGGUGAACCACGUACAUCUUGUGUUUGCUUUCCUAUCUCUAUCCAUUUAUAUACUUAUCCACACUAAUGACCGGAGCAAUCUAGCGAAGAUCACAAAAAGCGAUCGUUUUCGCUACCUAGGAUCUAUCUUGCAAGAGAACGGAGAAUUAGAUGGAGAUCUCAACCAUAGAAUACGAGCUGGAUGGAAAGAGUGCAUCCGGCAUGUUGUGUGACCGUCGUAGGCCACUGAAGCUCAAGGGAAAAAUUUUAUAGGACGGCAAUAAGGCUAGCGAUGUUGUAUGGCACAGAAUGUUGGGUGGUGAAGCAUCAACACGUACACAAAAUGGGUGUAGCGGAGAUGAGGAUGCUUCGUGGGAUGUGUGGGCACACGAGAAAGGAUAAGAUUGGGAAUGAGGAUAUCCGAGGUAAAGUAGGAGUAGCCGAAAUUGUAGGAAAUAUGAGAGAAAAUCGGCUCCGGUGAUUUUGAACAUGUGCAAAGAAGGCCGACUGACGCUCCGGUUCGAAGAUGUGACUACGGGACAGAGGUUCAGGGCCGAAGGGGUAGAGGAAGACCUAGGACAACUUUGGAAGAGACUCUAAGAAAAGACUUAGAGUACUUGGAUCUAACGGAGGACAUGACACAAAACCGAGCGCAAUGGCGUUCUAGGAUUCAUAUAGCCGACCCCACUUAGUGGGAAAAGGCUUUGUUGUUGUUGUUGUUGUUGAUGCAUAUGUGUUGGAUUCUUUAGUAUGUUAAUGCGUUAACUUAAUAGCUUUUGAUGGCUAAAAUUAUUUACUUGCAGCAUGGAUCAAUUAAUUCACAAGAUUCAUUAUUUGAUAUCACACAUCCCCUCUCUGGAAAGCUCAGUUGAUAAAACUGAUCAUGAGAUGUGGAGUGGAUCGGGUUAGUGUUCCCUGCCUUCUCACUCAGUAAUUAAGCAGUUGACCUCAUACUUUGCUUCCUUUUAAUACUUUUUCUUUUGGUGGAAGACUUUUUUAAUGAUGAUGGAUAAGUCAAUCACCUACCAAAACGGAAAAUAGAGUAUGCAUCAGUUAGUCAGUCCUUGCUAUGGGCUCCAACAUGAUUAUUGCCCAACAUUCUUAUUAACUUAAUGAAAUGUAAAGAUGCUAUUUUCAGUUCAUUUGACUGUAUAAGUAGUGGAAUGAGUGAGUAAUAUAUGGAUAAUUAUUUCCAUAAACAUUGGAAGGAAGUGUUAUCUUUCUUUUCUUUUUUCGUAUGUUUCUUGAUUAAAUGAUGGCAUGAGAGAAAAGUCUCUUCAAGUCUGGACAAUUUACUGCCAUUUCUGCUUCAAGAGGGUUCUUCUAAUAGACUAUUCUCAUAGUUUCACCACACAAGUACACAGUGAUGUAUGUGAGUGAAUGUGUGGUUUUCCUGUAUGAUUGCUUAGCUUUUUUUUUUUUUUUUUUUUUGAGUAUCUGCAUGCCUUGCGUCUGAAUUUCAGACUAGUUAACAUGGUGACAAGUGAUAACUAUAAGCACUAGUUUCUUCCCUGUUUCCUAUUGUAUUUACUUUUGUGAUCAUUUGAGCUUUUAAGUUUUCUUCGUUUAUUGAUGAGAUUUUUGUAUAAAGGUGAAUAUGAAGACCUUUCUGGGAAUCUGAAAGCAGAUGGUAAACAGCACAAGACUGAGAAGCAUAAGGAUAACGUAAUAUAGAUGUGUCAACGCAACUAUCAAAAUUAAUUGUGCAUUUCGUUCACUAAGUUCCCAUCUGUACUUUUCUUAUGAUAUUAAAGUUUUAGAUUCCUAAUGAUUCACAAUGUCUUCAGGUGUUGUCUGCAGCCAAUAUUGCCAAAAAGAUGAAAUUAAAAUUUACUAAAGCAUGGUUAUCAUUUCUAAGGUUACCACUUCCAGUUGAUGUGUACAAGGAGGUAAGACUCAUACGCGCUACUCCAUUAGUUCUCACCACUUGUAUCUGAAUCUCUUCACAGCUCAACUCUAAUUAGAAUUAUACUUGUUUUCUAUAUCUGGAAAGCUGUUCUAGUAUGUAGAGGCAGUAUCUGCUUUAUGAUACUGCACUUCUCAUGCGUUUUGGUUUUGUGACUUCUGCCUCUUUAGCCUCUAGCAAAAAGACUAAAUGCCGUUUUCCUCUAGUUUAUGUCUGUUAAAUCUGUUUACCUUGCAGUGAUAGUUUUCUACUUUUAUUCUCUACAAUUUUCUUACCAGGCUGUGUUUUGAUGCUCAGGUUCUUGCCACACUCCAUCAGGCAGUCAUUCCUUUUCUAGCUAACCCUGUCUUGUUAUGGUAAUUUACUUACGAAACAUGUUUUAUUUAUGUUUUCAGUUUGUCUUUUGUGACUUUGAUUGUAGUUCAUUUCUUGACAGCUUUCUGUGACUUUUCUAUAAAAUCAUAUGACAUCUCAUAUAUUGACUAUGUGCAGCGACUUCUUAACUAGAUCGUAUGACAUUGGUGGUGCUAUCAGCGUCAUGGCUCUUAGCAGUCUUUUCAUCCUCAUGACGCAACAUGGUUUAGAGUACCCCAACUUCUAUGAGAAACUUUAUGCAUUACUGGUUCACUCUAUUUUUCUGGCAAAACAUUGAUCAAAGUUUUUUCAGGUAAUACUAAUCAUUAAUGCAGUAACAGUUGGUCUAAAGUUAAACUUCUAUAAUACAAGCCAUAUAGGACUAAUUGGUUUUGAAUAUUCAGAUUGAACGAAUUGGUUAAUUAACUUAAUUUACAAUUGUUCUAUUUGAUUUGCAGCUUGUAGAUGCUUGCUUAAAAUCGCCACUUCUUCCUGCAUAUUUGGCUGCGGCUUUUGCCAAGACAUUGAGUAGGCUAUCAUUUUCAGUUCCUCUGUCUGGAGCGUUAGUUAUUAUUGCACUGGUUCAUAAUCUUCUACGGAGACAUCCUUCAAUUGCUUGGUGAAUCGGGUAUGAAGACAAUCUUUAAUUGUUUCUUUGUCAAUGAAUUUACCAUCCUCGAUCUGACGUAGUGAGUAUUUUUUUGUUAUUCUUGUUUCAUUCAUGUAUAUGAGGAGAUUGAUGUUUGUACAGGGAGGUGGCGGUGAAACUGGGAAAGAUGAUCCAGAAGCAGAACAGAGGGUUGCUGAUGGCACGGAUGGCACCGUAACUGGUUCGGCAGAUAAUUCAAUAAAAAAAUCAGGCAUUGAUCCUUUUGAUAAUGAACAAACUGAUCCUCUGAAAUCAAAUGCCAUGAGUAAGUAUUUAUUUCCCCCCAAAUGUGAUUACCUCAUACCAAAUCUUUUGCAUUUUGCAUUUAAUUGCUUUACUUAUAAAAUAACUUUUACUUGUUCAUCUCUUUUUGAACAGGAAGUUCACUGGGGGAGAUUGAUACCGUCCGUCACCACUACUGCCCUGCUGUUUCAAGGUUCAUGCUCGAGUCCUGCUCAUUUGUGAUUAUUGUAUGGUCAUUUAAACCUCUCGACUUUUCCUGAUAUCUUUUUGUUUGCUCUUAGGUUCGUUUUGUCACUCGAGAAUGAUUUGACAGUUAGAGCCAAAACUACUGAGAUAUCCGUUGGAGAUUUUAGCUCAGGUUCAUAUGCGACAAUAUUUGGAGAGCAGGUAUUGUUAUCUUGUCUCGGAAUUCCUCGAGUAUAUAUUAGAAUUUAUGCAUUCCAGGAAUUUAUCGUUAAAAGUAAAAAAAAUAUAGUGGAAACUGGUACUUGCAUCCCAAGAAGUUAAGUUGUAGAAAGCUACUGUUAGUAUGCCUUGUGCAAUUAAUUUGAUGGUUUCAUUCAGAGGCAUUUUAGUUCACUGCAUUGACUCUAUAUUGCAGGUGAGACGAAGAAUAAAGUCGGCUCCACUAGCAUACUACAAAGCAGCUCCGACCUCUCUGUUCUCGGACUCGGAGUCUCAGUUUCUCGGUUGGACGUUCAAGUCUGAAGACAGUAAGCGAAAGAACGAAAGCGCUGAUGAGAAUGGGAAAAUAGAUAAAGAAUGCGAAGAUAGUCUGGUAAAACGACAGCGGAUCAAGUGCUGUUAACCAAAAUGUACUCUCUCAAGGCGGCAGGAAAAUGCUCGUGAAUUAUAAGAUUGAUUUCGAGCUACAACGCUAGAGUUAUAGGUCUAGAUUUCUUCACUUGUAAGGUGCAACAAAUUUUGACCUAUUUAUUUGAUUGACAAGUUAUCCUUGUACAUGUAUUUUUCUUGAUGUAUCCGUUGUACCUUAAAAUUCCACCAAAUUUAAUCAUUUUUCAUGGCACAGUCUAUCCCUUUCUAUAUUUGUUAAAACAAGUUUAGUAAAUCUAAUUAGUAAUUUUAAAACAUUUUUUACAAUUCCCUAAUUAUAUCUCCAAUCAGAAAAUGCAACAUCAGCUUUUGGAAAAUUUUAUCUUAAUCUUGAGCUUCUUUGCUGCUCUUAACCUUGCUUCUUGCUUCUCCUCAUGUUCGAGCAGCAACCGCUCUCUUUCGUCUUCCUCCCUAGCAAUUUUUGCACUCUUCCUCUCUUCCUUCAGUAUGUCAUCGAAACUGGACACCAUCGCAAGAUCAUCACCAUCAUCGUCUGCCCUAGGGCGCUUGUGAUUGUGUCUGAAUAUCUCCUGGAUCACAGAAGAAACAUCAACUGAUUGCUCCCCCUUCACACGGUCUUUGACCUGAAUCUUUGAUGGAUUUUUUCGGUUUUGGCAUCGGUUUUGCUGUACUUUUCGGCUCAACAGAUUGCUUUGUUUGCUUCAAGCCCUGCUUUGUCGAAGAAGAUUCUGACUUUGCCGAGGAGGCUUUGCCAAUGACUUCCUCCGGACGCUUCUCCUUCAGGCGAUAUUUGAUGGGAUGUUUCGAGACAGAUUUUUUCUGUUUCGGCAUUGGUUUCUGUUUGGGCCCAAAAUAACAGUUUGGGCCGAGGGAGGUAUCACUUUCGGCCCGGGAAGACGUACGGCGAGAGAGUCAUGGGGGCGUUCAGCUCAUGGGCUUCUAGGCCUAGAUCGGUUAAAUCAGAGUGCAAGUCGAGUCCUAAUACAAUAGGGACCCUCGACGAGAUCAGUAAAACUAGAAGGCGAAUCCGGCUCAGUUAAGGACUAGAUUCGUAGUCCUAGCAGAGAUAGGACUGAUUGAGGUAACGUUAAUCCGGAGAAGGAAACCUAGUUCGAAUAGGAUUAGAACUCGGGCUCGGUGUUCUGCUACUAUAAAUACAAGACAUUCAGCAAUGGAAAAAGCCCACAAAAAUCAAUACAAAAUUGCCCUGCGCAAACUCUCACAACUUGAGAUCUUUUUCUUUUCCUUUUUCGCUGACACAUCUUCCGUUGGCAUCAACAGCACUGUGGAAGCAACCGGUGAUAUCUUUUAAGUCGGCAUAGAUAGCUCUGUCACCGUAGAGUCGGUCGGUCUCGCAGUAUCUUCCGUUGGCAUCAACAGCACUGCGGCGAGAACGGUCGAUUGCCUAUUCAAGUCUCGGUCGAGAAGGGUUUUCGAAUCCUUGUUGGUCGAGGUCAUCUCAUUAGCCUUCUCGGCGAGGUGAGGUGUUACAGUUAUUUACAUUCGGCACAUUGUAAGCCGAAUUCGGUUCGUGAACUUUGUAAGAAAUAGCAGCCUUGUCUUCAGGCUCUCGAGAACCAAGAGGCCGAGACGCGUUCCUUUCUCGGCCGCAAUCGCAAGACGCAGAAGUCAGUAGCGCGACCCAACGCAGCAUCAUCAAAUUUACUCCUCGGCCGAGCCUCGGCCGACGAGUUGGCACGCCCCGCAAUCAUCAUCGAAAGGACGUAGUUUAGCUUAGAAUAUAUUCGGCCUGCGCGCCACGUAGGCUUUGUAAUUUCUAGGGUCAACAAAUUGGCACGCCCAGUGGACCUAGUGUGCUAAACUACGAAGUUCAUGCCAAUUGAAACACGAUCGGUAAAAAAGAAAACAGCUAUGGGAAAGUCGACAGCCGAUUUACCGAGUCAGAGCAUAGGACAGAGUGUGCCACAGGCGCAUAAUCCCCUUAGCGUUGGUACACCUGAGUCCACGAGCGCGACUCGCCGAGAGAGAGAACUUAAUCUCGGCGGUCAACUCCGUGGUUUAGAAAUCCCCAACAGAAACACAUGCGUUCUCAAAUGAAGGGAUAAUAGAAGAAUGUGACGAGGAUUGGUGGUGAAGGAUCAGACCCACCAACGAGGUCGUUUCUCCGAAAGCGACUGGACGAGCAGUCUCGGUCAGUCGAGCAGACGUUCUGUCGAGGCAUUGACAAGCUGCAGAACGCGAUACUCAGUGCCAAUGAUCGGCAAACCAAACUGCUCGAAAUGCUGGUUAGCCAAGUUGUGUGGUGCAGCAGGCCUUUCGAUCUUCGCCAACCUUGUUUACCAGAAAACAACACGGUACCGAUUCGAUUGUACCGGCCGAACCUAUUCCUGCCCCGCUCAAAACAAUUAACUUGGAGAAGGGAGGAGGGUCGAACAGUAGGUCAGACGGGACCGACCAAAGGGUCGAAGCAGCAUCUGAUUUGAUAUGACCGAAGUUCAGCGGAUGAUCGACUCGGCUAUGAAGAAAGGGCCGAAGUUUCCCAAGUUUAUUCAUCCGUACCCAGCUUACGUGGAGACGUUUUGGAUACCCGAAGGGCUUCAAGAUCCCAGAUUUUAGUCUUUUUGCUGGUGAAUCGUCCCUGUCUUCGUUGGAGCACGUGGCUCGUUUUCACCGCGCAAUGUGGAGAUGUGAAUAGUGAUUUCCACAAGUUACGGCUGUUCAAUUUUUCAUUGACCGGCUCGGCAUUUGCCUGGUACAUCAAUCUCCCGGCCUAAUUCCGUCCAAAACUGGGAGGAGUUGGUCGAGAAGUUCCACGAGCAAUUUUAUCGGCCGGGGAUGGAGAUGUCAGUUUCUUUCAUUAGCACGGAUGGCUCAAGCAUCUGAUGAGUCACCAAUGGAUUAUCUUACUAGGUUUAAAUCGGCUAGGAAUUGGUGCCGAGUGCCCUUACCCGAAGUCGAAUUUGUCAGGCUUGCUUUGAAUGGUCUUGACGUCGAAUACAAAAAGAAAUUCUUGGGGGCAAAAUUUUCGGGAUAUGUACGAAUUGGCCCAGCAUGUCGAGCAGUACGAUUAUUUGCUACGCGAGGAAAAGACUUCGAAGACUCCAACUCGGGGAACGAAUUUACAAGAACCCUUACUGUCAAUUAUGCAUCAACCGAGGAUGAAUGUGUUAGUGUGGAUGCGGCUGAGAUAGUAAUAGAUAAAACCAUACAUUUGCAAGGCAUUGACUCAGGUUGAUUCUAGAGAAGCCAAAAGUCGCUCGGCCACUGAAGGAACAUCGAAACCGUCAAAGGUUUAUACUUUUGAUAUUACCAAGGCUGAACGCAAUUUUUGACCAACUGUUAUCAGCAAGAAAUCAUUAAGCUUCGGCCUGGUCAUAACAUUCCUAAGGCCGAGGAGCUUAAAGGAAAGGUGUAUUGCAAAUACCACAAUUCGAGCAAACACACGACAAACAAUUGCGUCGUAUUUCGUGAUAACGUCCAAAGCUGGAUUGAUAAUGGCAAGCUGAAGUUCCCGGAAGAGGAAUGAGUGUUGAUACUGAUCCGUUCCCCACGGCAACAGUCAAUAUGGUCGACGCGUACCUACCCAAGGACAAAAGGGAAAGGCAAGGCUGAAGUGGUUGAGACACAACGCCCGCGGAACCAGAAUGUUCGGCCACGGUUCAUGGCGGAUUCGCGUUCAAAUAAAACCAUCUGCGGCCUUAAACGGGGCCCGCUAUUGUCAAAUCUUUGACGGAGUGUAGCGCCAAUGAAGAUAGUGGGACAGCGGUUCUGUUGCAGGAAAUGUAAAGCGAAGGUCGACAGUGAACCAGAAGAGAACCUUUCUUCGCAACCCGUGGCCGCAACUCGGCAAAAGAUAGCCAAUGAAGACCAACAUCAUGGGGUUUUUGGGAGGCUCGGUCCUAAAGUACGGAUGGAAGAGACACCCCCGGUCAGGCGGCGCCUUGAUUUUGAUGCUUCAUUUUAUGACGAUGAUUACUAUAAGCGUAAUUCUAGCAGUUCAGGAUCAUCACGGAGUCAAAAGACCUUCAAGCCUCCUGAGCCUAGAGAUCAACGUUGGUACACAUACCAUUCUUCGAAGGGCGUCUAUACCGCGUUGUCCAAAUCUCAGAAACGCCGGCAUCAACGGAUAGAUUGCAUGGCUCGCCGACAAGCGGCCCAACAAACUUCGGCCCCUAAGUGGCGACCGAAGGAUACAGUUGCCACUAGUGAAAAGCGACCACCUCCACCAAUUAUGACAGAGUUGGCUCAGGGGAAACGGCUGGUCGAUCAAGACGUCGAGACCAUGUUUGAAGAAGCUGAUAAGCGGAUCAAACUUCUCAUUCGACCAGGGGAAAUAAAGGCACGUGUUGAACAUUUCAGGCAAAAGGCCGAAAGCAAAUUAUCCCCGCUAGCUAUACAAGAGCCUUUGGUCAAAAUUCGACGGAAUUUGCACCCCCCGUUCCUUGGGGAGUCUUUGGAAUAUAUGCGAGAAUUUUCAUAAGGAACAUUCGGCCAACGAUUUGUAUGGUUUGCCGAAGGCAUGUCAGGACACCAUUGAUCUUGUCUUGACUUGUCCGGAUGCUGAGCGGAUCAUCCAGAAGACCUCAGAUCCAGGAUUGAAAGCAAGGUUCCAGCACAUACGAGAAGCUCGUGUCUUUGGAUUUGAAGUUGACCCGUAUACCGAUAUCGAUGUCGCUGACCUUCCUUUCUCGCUAGAGGACCUUCAGUAUUUACGGUAUCACUUUGAAGUAUUUUCGGCGGUUUCUCUCUUCGGCCUUACGACCGAUGAAAUCGCCCGUAUUGCCCGUCUGGAUGCUUAUCUCGACACUAGGGAUGCUCGACUACACUACCAGGAGCAGGUUCAGGACUUGACCCCAAGCUCAUUGUCAAUCUCGACCUUACCUGAGGCGGUCACGCAGAGCCAACAAGUGGCCGAAGCAGCUCCGCUGAGUGACAUUAUUAAAGGGACGGAAGAAUCUCGUUGUCCGACUCUGACGACAACUGAGUCCGUAGUCGCUAACCAACCGAACGAGGAGGAUCUCGACCAGAUGGGCCCGUCCGUCCUGGAUAAUAUGGAAAUUAGUAUGGUUCAUGUAUUACCUGCCGAUUUUCAAUCAAGCACGGCUCAACCAAAUUUCCUCGAUGGAGAUGUGGUUGUCGAGGAACCUGGCCAUGUUGAUUUUAUAUCGAUUGCUGAAGGCGAGUCAGUCAACAGCAAGAGAUGAUAGCCUAAAAGGCCGCUUUGGCCGAAUUGUUCCCUCGUUUAUCAUCGGCCAAGCUUCACCAUUUAAAGCCAUUGUAUGUAACGGCACACAUCGAGGAUAUCCGGUUUCUAAAGUUUUUGUCGAUUGUGGAGCUACUGUCAAUAUCAUGCCCCUGAACAUCAUGAAGGCCUUACGCCGUUCAAAUGACGCGAACUUAUUCCGUCAGGGAUCACAAUGAGCAGUUUUUGUCGGGGACAAGUCCCACACCAAAGGUGUGCUUCCGUUAACUGUGAAUAUUGCCGGUCGCACCCAUAUGACCGCCUUUUUUGUGGUUGAUUCCAAAACCGAGUAUAAUGCACUGCUCGCCGAGAUUGGAUUCAUCAAACCAGCUGUAUUCCUUCCUCAUUGUACCAAGUGCUUGUCUUUUGGGACGGUAAAUAAAUCGGUCACUGUUCAUCCGGCCGAUAGCCAGCCCUUCGAAGCCAACAUGAUUCAAGCACGGUAUUAUGACGAUCACGUCGGCUAUAUUACGUUGCAAGGCUUCAAUGAAGAGGGACGGCCGACUCGGAUUUCCGUUCAGAAAGCUAUCGAGGUUGGCGCCGAGACUGUCCAGCAGGAUUCGGCGAGACUCGGAUUAGCUAACUUUCUCCCCGAAACCGAUGUUUGACGCCGAUCGGGAAGCACGUAGGGCCGCGGUUUCAUCUACUAUGGAACGACUGCUGGCCCAUUGGUAUAUACGAUAUCUAAACAACCAAAUUCGGCCGUCAACCUCGUCGAGUUCCUUGCUGAGGGAGAUAAUGGGCCUGUAUUAUCUUUUGAUAAAAUUCGAGCCGCCCCGGCCGAGCUCGAAGAUCAUCGGCCCCUUGUUAAGGACCCUUUGGAAGAGAUUAAUGUUGGGACGGCCGAUGACCCACGACUUUUGUUUAUUAGUGCGUUACUUCCUCAACAAAUGAAAGGACGAGUUGCGGGCCUUGCUUACGGAAUUCAAAGAUUGUUUUGCUUGGAGUUAUCAUGAAAUGCCCGGCUUAGAUCGUGCUUUGGUCGAACAUGAAUUACGUAUUAAGCCCGGAUUCAAGCCUUUCCGUCAGCCACCUCGUCGAUUCUCGACCGAAGUACAAACUCAGUGUUAAGGACGAAUUAGUUCGGCUUUUGAAAGCCGGGUUUCAUUCGGACAGCUCGAUCGAUAUGUCGAAUGGUUGGCGAAUAUUGUUCCUGUAUUAAAGAAAAGUGGUGCACUGCGCAUCUGCACCGAUUUUCGCAAUCUGAAUCUGGCAACGCCCAAAGAUGAGUAUAUACAAUGCCGAUUUCAGAUCUGUUAAUCGAUGCCGCGGCGAAUCAUGCGAUCUUAUCUUUUCUGGAUGGACAUGCCGGAUACAACCAAAUAUUUAUUGCCAAAGCCGAUGUGCACAAAACUGCUUUCCGGUGCCCGGGGGCACUCGGCACUUACGAAUGGGUUGUCAUGCCAUUCGGCCUCAAGAAUGCCGGCGCUACGUUUACCAACGGGCGAUGAACACCAUCUUCCAUGAUUUAAUUGGCACCAUCGUCGAAGUUUAUAUCGAUGAUGUUGUCGUCAAAUCUAAACGCCGACAGACACAUCUGGACGAUCUCCGACAGGCUUUCCUCCGUAUGCGUCAGCACAACCUCAAGAUGAAUCCUGCCAAGUGUGCCUUCGGUGUAUCGGCCGGGAAUUUUCUUGGUUUCCUCGUACAUCAUCGUGGGAUUGAAGUCGAUGAGAACAAGGCACGCGCAAUCAUCACCGCCCCACCCCCAACAACGAAGAAACAAUUACAGUCCUUACUCGGCCAGAUCAAUUUUUUACGCCGAUUUAUUGCUAAUUCGGCAGGUAAACUGAAAGCCUUUUCCACACUUUUUGAAACUCAAGGACUCCGAUAAGUUCAUGUGUGGAAUGAGGAGCACCAGGCGGCGUUCACACAGAUCAAGGUUUCCCUUACAAACCCACCUGUCCUGGUCCCUCCUCAGCGCGGUAAGCCUCUCAAGCUGUACAUUUCGGCGGCCGACGAGUCCAUCGGUUGCCUCCUCGCGCAAGACAAUGAUGCCGGCCGGGAACAGGCUAUCUUCUACCUCAGCCGUAAUCUGAGUCCUCCGGAGAUCAAUUAUUCCACCGUUGAGAAGCUCUGUCUCGCCGUGUUCUUCGCUGCAUCCAAGCUUCGGCAUUACAUGCUCCCGUCGGUCACCCAAGUCAUUGCCCAGACCGACGUUAUCCGGUACAUGCUUACCCCGGCCGAUUGUGAAGGGCCGAAUUGGGAAAUGGACGAUGGCGUUGUCCGAGUUUAGUUUGCAGUACGUGCCACAAAAAGCUGUGAAAGGGCAGGCGUUGGCCGAUUUCCUUGCCCAUCACCCUUCGCCUUACGAUUUCGGGGGUGCUGAUGUCGAGAUUGGCAUGGUGGUGACCCGCGACAACUAUUGGACGAUGUAUUUCGAUGGUUCCAGUACUUCGUCCUCGGCCGGUGCAGGCAUCGUCAUUCAGUCUCCUCACAACGAUCGUUGGUAUUUUUCGCUCAAAUUGGAUUUCGACUGUACCAAUAAUCAGGCCGAGUACGAGGCUCUGGUCAUUGGUCUAGGCCUCCUUCUUGACCUACAUGCCACUCGUGUCCUCGUCCUCGGGGAUUCUGAACUAGUGAUUAACCAAAUUAAUGGGUCUUUUCGCUGCAUGAGUUGUACUCUGGCGCCUUACCACAUGAUCGCCAGCUAUUUGGCCGAGUCCUUUGACGGUAUUACAUUCGAGCAUAUUUCUCGGGUUCAUAAUACCGACGCAGACGAGUUGGCUCAAAUCGCCUCCGGUGCACAACUCCUGGGGGGGGCAAGCUAGGCCGGGAGAUACCAAUAUUACAACAAUUAUACCCGGCCUUGGUUGAUCAGCAAAUCCUCCGUCGAGACAAUGUGAUACGUACCAGGGUCAUGUCCUUGCCUUCAUUGUUGGAUCGGCAGGACCAGGACUCUAUAGAAAUUUGCGCGGCCGAGGCAGUACCAGAUAAUUGGAGAAAGCCCAUUAUGCAGUACCUUGAUAAUCCUAACGGAAAACACAGUCGCAGGACACGGGCUCACGCCACGAACUAUGUCACGUACCAGAGCGAGUUGUACCGAAAGGGCGAAGAUGGUUUGUUAUUGCUAUGCCUCGGCCUUCAAGAGAGUGCUCGAGCGAUCGCAGAGGUUCAUGAAGGGGUAUGCGGAACUCACCAGUCUGGACGAAAAAUGCGAUGGCUAUCUCCGACGACACGGUUAUUUUUUGGCCGAGAAUACUGAAAGAUUGUAUCGAGUUUGCACGAGGAUGCGUUGCAGUGCCAAAUCCAUGGGCCUAUACAAAGGGUCCCGGCCGAAUCGCUACAUUCGGUCAUUAAGCCGUGGCCGUUUAGAGGAUGGGUCAUGGAUGUAAUCGGCAAAAUCACGCCGACUUCUGGAGCUGCUAAGCAUGCAUGGAUAAUAGUCGCAACUGAUUACUUUACUAAGUGGGUCGAAGCAAAAUCAUAUGCCGAAUUAACGUCUAAAGAAGUUUGCGAUUUCGUGGAGGAACACAUUGUGACCCGGUUCGGUGUGCCAGAAACGAUCAUAACCGACAAUGGAACAAUCUUCACAGCCGAAAGGUUUAAGGAAUACACGGCCAAUUUGAAAAUUCGGCUGGAACAGUCCACACCGUAUUAUCCACAGGCGAAUGGGCAGGCCGAGGCAAGUAAUAAAGUGUUGAUUGGCAUCCUCGAAAAAAUAAUAAAAGAGAGGCCUGGCAUGUGGCAUUUGAAGUUGAACGAGGCAUUAUGGGCAUACCGAACGUCGUCCCGAUCGGCGACUGCAACAACCUCGUACGCAUUGACUUACGGACACGAUGCGGUGCUACCAGUCGAGUUGAGCAUAAAUUCGUUGCGAUUAAUUGAACAAAGUAGUUUGUUUAGCGCCGAAUAUAAUCAGUCCAUGAGACAGGAACUAGAAGAUUUGGAAGAGGCGCGACUUGACGCUUAUAACUUACUGGUGGCACAGAAACAGAUUGCCGAGCGAGCUUAUAACCAAAAGGUACGACAGAAAACGUUCGGCGAGGGUGAAUUGGUGUGGCAAACGGUGUUGCCCGUAGGAAUAAAAGAUCCUAGGUUCGGCAAGUGGUCGCCGAAUUGGGAAGGGCCGUUCAUUGUGCAUAAGGUAUACGGUAAAGGGGCGUAUAUCAUCUUAAAGACCGGACUGGAGUAGUUCACAAAAAUUACCAAUUAAUGGGAAGUUCUUGAAGAAAGAAAUACUAUCCGGUCACAUGGGAAAUGCGUGAAUAAAAAGUUUGUUGUAGGAAAAGUCAUUCCAUUAAAAUUGGCAGGUAUUACAAAAAUGAGUAGGUCUAAUACAUUCAAGGAGACGAGGGAAGAAGAGUGCUGAGCAGAGCUUUCAAUUCCAACCACCGCACGUCGGCCAUGAUGACUUCGGCUUGCCGAUUCUUUUUGUCUAGCCUCAGGCGCUCGACCCGUUUUUUGGCCGCCGCAUACUCAGUUAGGCGAUCCUUCCCACCUGACUCGAAGUCCCUCGCAAGUUCAGAAGCAAUGACCGACCGGCGUUUUGCUAGUUCGGCCAUCUGACGUCGUCGAGCUCGGCUAACGCUUCUCCUUUUGCCCGUAGAUCGUCAAUCUUCGGACGGAGGGUGUCUUGAACGGCCGUGGCGGCUUGCAGGUCCUGUUCGGCCUUCAGAGCAGUCUGGAAGAUGCCAAAUGUCUCCCGAACGCGCUCCAAAGCAGAUGAUGCCCGAACAAUGGCAUCUCCGCUUAGGCGACCGUCGGCCCCAAGGUCGUUCAGACACACGCCGAGCAGAUCAAGACCGUUGCGCUCAAGUACUUGCGAUGAAGAGAGCGACAGGACUUCUCGCAACUGGGUUAGGGCGCUUGGAUCGGCAGCCUCAGUUGGAGCGGCCGAAGGCCGGACUCUGCAGUCGUGCUGGAGAGGAGAGCUUUGAAUUCAACCUCCCAUGAAGCCUGCACGAAUAAACAAGGUUAAGCUUAAAGGAAGUCAUGACAAGAAUGGCAAGAAGUGUGUCGUUUUUUAACCUGCCGAGAGGAGACCUCGGCCAUGUCCCCAGGGUCGUUGCUCGAACCUAAAGAACUCAAUGGCCGAGCCCAGUGUCUCAGAUUGCUUCUCACUUCACGAGGCCGAUGGAGGUUAUCUACGUUUGAUGGCCACUGAUGCGGCCAGGAAAUAUAGAUAACGCCCUUCGGCGCAUAGAAUUGACGGUGAAAAGAAUGUACAGGCACCUGACAUUUAGUUUUUCCUUGUUUAGAAUUCUAAAGCAGAAAAGCAAUCAGGAGGAAAAUUGAAGGUACUUACAAAAGCCGAGGUAACCUCUUGUGGAGGGAUGUGGAAGCCUUGGUCUUGAGGAUGGAUCGGCGAUUCCGCCGUGGCCUCGGGUUCCUCGAGCAGGCGUUUGCCACGGUCGGCUGCCGAUGGGCCGACUGGCGCAGCUGCUUCAGUGGAGGCAGGGACGUCCUGGUCUUGAGAAGGAACGAGAGGUUCGGCCGCCGGGGUCGGUUCCUCGACCGUGCGCUUGCCACGAUUAGCCGAGGAGGGGCCGGGUUGAACCGCCAUCUCGGAUACUGGAGGAGUUUGUUGACGAGUAGGAGGACGACGCGCCAGCGGGACCUCGUCGCUCCCCUCACUCUCUUCCAGCACGAAGACCGUGGGCUUUGGAUUCUUGGGAGAGGUUUCCUCGGUCGUAGGAACCGCCUGGUGUGAGACAGGUGCCUUCUCGACAGAGGGAGGUACGACUGAUUCGCCGGCCACAGAAGCAGGCCGCGCUGGGACCGUCUCUAUGGCCGAAGCCGGCUGUUUCUUGACCUCAGAAUGGCCGGCGGCGGGAGAAGGGGAAGCACUGGGAGUCGUCGUGUGGCUGGAAAUAACGUGGAUCUCCCGUGCACCUUUCUUCGCCAGUUGUUUGACCCGCUUGGCAGGCGGGGAAGGCUCGAUAGCCGGCCUGGCCUCUUGGCGAGGCCGUUUGAUCAGCCCGGCCCUACCAGUAGGUUUGUCCUUUUUGGCCACGACCGAUUUUUUCCCGGCCAUAGCAGCGGCAACUGCCUCUGUCUUUCUCAAAGGCCGACUACCUAAAAGGAUAAAGACAAUUCAGUAGGGCGUACAAUAUGCAAGGUUGAAGAAAAAGGGGGAAUUGAACAACUACCUUGAGAGUGGGGGGCCGGGGCUUUCUUAGGUCGGUUACCGAAGAGCCUGCUUAGUACAUCUUCGACCGGCGCACCGAAGAACUCCUGAGUGUAAUUUUCCCACCACUCACCGAAGGUGUCAGUGCAAUGGGUUUCUGGGGUGGCCGGUCGUAGGCGAAAUCUUUGGCAGUACUCUUGAAACUCCUUCGCGGCAGUCCUGCACUCGUUCUCUGAAGAGCGAGGCUCGCGUCCGCGGCUCAAUACUGUGCGGGAAGAGAGAAGGGGGACGGGACAGCCCUGAAGAUAGCCGAGCUGACGGGCAAGAAAGUUCGGAUGGUACACUUCCCACCCCGACCGUUUCCCGUCGCAGCCGAGAGGAAGGUCGCGAGCAAGCACGAACGACCCCCAGGUUUGGCGAAGAGCGGCAUCCUCCUCUGCGGCCCACGUAGAGGUAGGCAGUCUGAUGGAGGGGGGGUAAUCGCGACGACGACAAAUCAGGAAUUCGUCGCUUGAGAGAUCGUCAAGGGCAAAGAGGUACCUAAAUACUUCUUCGGCCUGAUGAGGAGGCGUUGGUCGGGAAGCUAGCUGAGGACCAAGAGCCUCUGUUGCUGAGAAAUCAGCUAUAGCCGGCCGAAGGGAGGCGAAGUACACCUGCAACCAGAGCUGGAAGACCCAGAGAGGGCCAUUCUGGUAGGGGUCCACCGUGUGGAGAGUCGCCUCGGCCAGGCAACGGAAGAGGUGGGCAAGAAUAUUAGAACUCAGCGCCAGGACGUGACCACUGGCCAGGGCUUCGGCCACUGGCAUAUUCUCGACCAAACAUUUGUUUGAUUUGGUACAACAAAUAUACAUUUGUUGUACCAGUAGAAGAGGAAGGCUUCAUGCUCUCCCUCUCGCAGGUCCUCUUCCCCUCGACCGGCGAAGUGAAGGUAGAGGGUGUUGUAGUUGAGAAAGUUCUUGUGGAGCUUCUGUAUUUCAUCCCUCGACGGGAUGUGACCGUCACUGUUCAGGGUCUCGAAGGCUCGACGGUCGAAGAGCGUCUUCAGAUCGAUAUUCGACGGGUGCCCGGAGAGGGUCGCGUCGAUAGGGAUCCCGGUGGCCGAGGUCCCCAAAAUGGCGGUGAUGUCCAGGAUGGUGGGACCAAUGGGACCAAGGGGAAGGACCAUUGUGUUGGUGGCUGAGCACCAGAAGCAUAGAGCGGCUAGGAGCAGCUCCUUGUCAGGGACAAUGUCCAUCGACGAAAGGAAGAUGGCGUCGUAGAUACCCAGGAUUUUCCAUUUUUCGCCGAAGAGCCGUUCCAUUCGGACAACCCAGGUCGCCCAGGUGGUGGUCGUCGAGGGCCAGGAGCCUUGGGGCUUUGCCGCCUCCCAUCUCGACCAUUCAAACCCUUGGAGCAAGGGUGCAAGGCAGUGUUCCUGGAGAAGACCAGUGAUGGUCGGCGGGAUUGUUGCCUUGAAGAGAGGACCCAGGAUUUGGUGGACGGUGCUCAUGUCGUUCUCGAACCGUAUAUUCUUGAUCGAGCUCCGAUCAAGGAUCUUCUGAUGCUGGUCGCAUUCCCGGGAAAGCUUGGAGAUGAAGGAGGCCAUUGUAAAAGCACAGCGUAAGGAGGUUUUCUGGGUUGGGGAUUUGAGGACGAAAACUUGGAAUGGAGGAAUGCACUUGAGAGCAAGGGUAGGGGAUUUCAGGAAGUUUGAGAACGUAAAGUACAAAUGAGGAAAUUUCGGUAUUUAUAGAGUAAUGGGAGGAAGAGCAAUCGUUCGAAAUUCAAAACAAAGGGCAAAAUCGACCGGAGGAAUCGUUGAUCAUGAUGAGCAUUUGGGGAAUGCGGUUGAGAAGACCAACGGUUUUAGGUUUUGGGGGCGCGCACGAUCGCGUGUGACGGCGAAGUUAAUGACGAAAGACGGUUCGACGCCUGCACGAUGACAGGAGGGCUCACGGACUGAUGAAAUGGCUCGCGGAUUGAGAUAGUGGUCAUAAUGGCGAGACGGUUCGGGCAGGCGCACGCUUCAGACGUCAUUAUCGGGGAUUGGCCAUGUUUGGGGAUGCCACGUGGCGAGUGGUUUAGCAGGAUCAAGAUCGUGCGAUCAUGUUCAAUAAAUGCGCCUUGGAACUCGGGUAUUGGGAUCCUGAGUGGUAGAUUCGCUUCUUCAAGGUCGAAACUCGGCCGAAGGUUUCAGGCCGAGGACCUCAAAAGCGAGGGGGCAAUGUUUGGGCCCAAAAUAACAGUUUGGGCCGAGGGAGGUAUCACUUUCGGCCCGGGAAGACGUACGGCGAGAGAGUCAUGGGGGCGUUCAACUCAUGGGCUUCUAGGCCUAGAUCGGUUAAAUCAGAGUGCAAGUCGAGUCCUAAUACAAUAGGGACCCUCGACGAGAUCAGUAAAACUAGAAGGCGAAUCCGGCUCAGUUAAGGACUAGAUUCGUAGUCCUAGCAGAGAUAGGACUGAUUGAGGUAACGUUAAUCCGGAGAAGGAAACCUAGUUCGAAUAGGAUUAGAACUCGGGCUCGGUGUUCUGCUACUAUAAAUACAAGACAUUCAGCAAUGGAAAAAGCCCACAAAAAUCAAUACAAAAUUGCCCUGCGCAAACUCUCACAACUUGAGAUCUUUUUCUUUUCCUUUUUCGCUGACACAUCUUCCGUUGGCAUCAACAACACUGUGGAAGCAACCGGUGAUAUCUUAAGUCGGCAUAGAUAGCUCUGUCACCGUAGAGUCGGUCGGUCUCGCAGUAUCUUCCGUUGGCAUCAACAGCACUGCGGCGAGAGAACGGUCGAUUGCCUAUUCAAGUCUCGGUCGAGAAGGGUUUUCGAAUCCUUGUUGGUCGAGGUCAUCUCAUUAGCCUUCUCGGCGAGGUGAGGUGUUACAGUUAUUACAUUCGGCACAUUGUAAGCCGAAUUCGGUUCGUGAACUUUGUAAGAAAUAGCAGCCUUGUCUUCAGGCUCGAGAACCCAAGAGGCCGAGACGCGUUCCUUUCUCGGCCGCAAUCGCAAGACGCAGAAGUCAGUAGCGCGACCCAACGCAGCAUCAUCAAAUUUACUCCUCGGCCGAGCCUCGGCCGACGAGUUGGCACGCCCCGCAAUCACCGAAGGACGUAGUUAGCUUAGAAUAUAUUCGGCCUGCGCGCCACGUAGGCUUUGUAAUUUCUAGGGUCAACAGUUUCAUGCUACAUUGAUUUGUUGAAGAAGGUUCUGACUUUGCCGAGGAGUGUUUGGUUUUGCCAACUUCUUCAGGCUCUCCUCCUUUCAAAGGCUUAGGAAUUUCUGCACCGUCCGAUUGCAAAAAGGAGUAAUCCCGGGACUCCUUUAGGUUUUUACACUUUAAUGUUGUGCUAAUAACAAGGCUAUUUGCAGCGGUUUUAGCCUUGUCACCGGAAUUUAGAACCCUAGACGCCAACUGCUUCAACUCCGGCACAAAAUCCUUCAUCUCUUCGUGCACUCUCUUGGCCAUGACACGCUCCGAGGGGCCAAAGAAGGAUCCAAAGUUGUCGAAAGUCAAUUUCUUCUUGUUAUCAUCAGUAGUACUAUUAACCGAGCAGCCAUGAGCAACAGCAGAGCCUUCUGAUUUCUUCAUGCGAAUGCGUUCUUUCAGUUGCUGCCUGAGUUGAAGGAAGUCGAAUUGCUCCGCCUCUGCAGGACGCAUAACUAGAGAAGCCAUCUUUCCGAUCCCAAAGUUGUAGAAUUCUAACUUGGAAACCCUAACUUGCUUUCUAAGCAACUCCUACUUGAAAAAGUGAUCGAAUGCGGAAAGAGAUGGGAAUUGUAGCUUGUAACGUAAUGAAUGGAAGGGAAAAGUCUGUAUUUAUAAUUGAGGAUUAGGAUUGGAUGUGCUUUCAUUUUACGGCGGUCUAGGAAUUUCCUAAUCCCAAUAGGAAAAUGGGAGUGGAUUUUCCUAAAAGGAAUAGGAGAACGUAAAAUAAUCAUUGAAUCAAAUGGAUAUAAACAAACUACACCCAGGUCUUUUUAUGACGUUUUUCUAUUUAAACACCACAACCGCAAGUGAUUUGUAGCUCACUAGAUUAAAAACAUUUGUCUUUGAACCCGAGUUUUUCUAUUUGAAUCACCUUUUUUAUGGUUUGAAUGAGUUUAAUGUAGAUUAUUCUAUCGUCUGUUAAAAGAAAAAAUUAAACACCACCACCUUUCUUUUUUGAGUUCACUCCAAUUUCAAUCUACACCUCAUUAAAAUUUUGAAUUUUAAAUUUUUCCAAAAACAACACACUUUUCACUAAAUUACCCUGAAAUACGAACACACCACUCCCACCAACAAAAAAAAAAGAAAAAUGACAAGACUGCUCCACACCCACAACACCAGCGUGUUCAUGGUGGCACUAGGUCUUGAUCACAACCAAAGAAUAUGAGAUUUUUAAGGAUGAAUCUCAUUUUGAGGUCCUUAUGUAGUAGCCUCCUUUGCUUGCUUGGAGUUUCGGACGUUGGUGUUUGGGAUUUUCAAAGAUCACAAAUCCUAUUAAACUAGAAUGUUCCUUCCAAAUUGAUUUGUCAAUCAAUCCACUCAAAGACAUUAAGGGGCCGUUUGAUAAUCAUCAUUCAAGAGAGUAGAAUCUUAAGACUACACACUCAAGAGUUGAGACAGGAUCGUCUCUAAGAUUUUGGGGCCUUGUGCCAACUUUUCAUGUUCCUUUUAGUCUUUUAUCGUUAUAGUCUUUAUUUAUCUUCUCUUUUUGGCUUUGGCCCUUGAUUUGGUGCCCUCGUCUGAGUUUUUGUCUCAAUUUUAUGAGUUUGUCUCAAUCUGGGCUUUCAUGUCUCUUUCUUACUCAGUUGUCAUUUCAUGUCAGUGAUGUCACAAGUCUUCCACAAUCAACCUCUGCUACUUAACCUAUCGGAGGCCUCUCUUCAGUAGCGCACUUUGGUGUUGUGUGUUGUUUAAGUGUUUUUAGGACUGUUUGGUAGGAUUAUGGGAGCACUCAAUGUGCAGGUGGCUUGCUCACCCCCAUAUUCCGUUGGUGCAAUUGUUUUGUUGGUUUGUUCUCUUGGUUGUGGCGGCCUUGCGAUCGUGGCACAACUGACUUGUUAGACGCUGCUAUUUCCUCUCCAAAUUUAGAGCAUCUCCAGUUAAGUCCCUAUAUAGGGACAAGCACCAUAUAAAAUGAGUAUAAAAUAAAUAUAAGGACAAAAUGAAUCUCCAAUAGAUCGGAAAGUGAGUCCCUAAAGUAUAGGAACUCGCUAGAUACUUGGUGUAUGUACCCAUAUAUAGGGACUAAAAUGGUGGACCUAAUAGGACAAUUUAAGUGGAAAAACAGGCGUGGGUCCCAGUCACAUAGCCUUGUCUUUUUUUUUCUUUUCUUUUUAACCAUUUAAAAUGGAAGGUCCAAAUUGAUUCUUGCUUUUCAAAUUUGUUUACCAUUGAAAGAUCAAUAGUUCCAAUUAAAAACCCGUUUCAAUUUAGGUUACUCUGUCAUGUUGGUUUUCAAAUUCUUUUGUUUUCUCUUUUCAUAAUGCUUCCGUUGAAAUAUUAAUAUUUUCAAUUUGGAUUACUCUUUCAUUUUGUUCUCUCAUCAUUCCUAUAAAUACCAAAUCAUCUAACCAAAACUUACCACAACUUUAUCUCAUAUACUCAGUUCAUUCGUACUCAAUUCACUUACUCUAGUUACGUUUUUGUGAUGAAACAAUUUAGUGUCAGAAUUUGAAUUUUUUUUUGGUUAAAAUAUUCACAAAAAUAUUUUACGAGAACUUAAUGUUAACAUAAACAAAAAUGUGCACCUAAUCAAAUUAUCACAUAAAAUUGUAAAAACCUCAAAUUUAGGGAUUCUACUAUAAGGACUCUCCCAUUGGAGGUAAUAUUCCUUUAGGGACACAAAGAUUCUCUUUAAAUCUUUAAAUGAGUACUCAAAGGUGGUGGUAGGAGUCCCUAAGACCAUCUCCAACCCUUGGGCUAAAAGCCAAAUUUUUUAGCCCGGAAAAUUUAGUUUUUAGCCUAGAAAUAAUUUUUCUGUUCUAACCCUUCUGACUUAAAAUUUUAGUCUGGGAUUAUUAAAGAAUGAACUUAGGCUAAUUUUUUUCUUAAAUUUUCUUUAAAAAAAAAAUUAUGUAGACUAUCGUAAAUUAAUUUUAUAAACAUUUUAAUCUAAAAAUAUUUAAAUUCCGAUAAAUAUUGAAAAAUCACUAAAUCGAUACAUGAAACUCAUGAAACACUAUGGAAGAAUAUGAACAUCAUGAUAUAGAUGUAUAAACACAAAAUACAUAAAACACACAAGACACACAGAACACAUGUAAAACACAUACAAAACACAUGUGAAGGACAUACAAAACACAUGAUAGAGAUGAAGCACACACAGAACACAUGUGAAACAAAUGACACACACGAAACACAUACAAAAUACAUACAAAACACAUGAUAUGAUGAAGCACACACAACACACAUGUGAAACACAUGACACACACAAAACACGUACAAAAUACAUACAAAACACAUGAAACGCAUGAAACAUAAACCUACACACAUGAAACUGAAACCUUCAAUCAUCCUUUAUAUAAACACAGGUUGAAUAUCAGUUGAUCACACAAUCUUUCAACCUUCAAUCAUCCUCUAUAUUCACCAAUCUUUCAACUUUCAAAGAGUUUUUGUUCCUAAAAAUCCUCAAUAUCUCAUCAGUGGGUGAUAGAAGAAGGCGUAGCAGGGCAAUGCAGAUGGCACAAUACCAAGCAAGCCUUGACAUUGAGGAUUCAUAAAUGAUCAACGCAGAAGCUGAACUUGCAAACUCGCUUAUGCAAUAUGAGUACCAUGCUGAAUCUAGCUAUCGUGAUUUUGUCACGGGGCGUUCAUUUGUGCAGCGUGAUAGAGAAGAGUGUCAUGACUGAAUGACGAAAGAUUAUUUCAUCGAGUGUUCGAGAUUUCUUGCUCAUGAUAUUCGGAGGCGGUUUCGGAUGAGGAGAGAGCUUUUUGAAAGCAUCUUGAAUGCAGUGGUCAAUCAUGACCACUACUUUGCAAGGAAGAUAGAUGUCGUAGGCCGACAAAGUCUAUCACCUCAGCAGAUGCUCACAUCUACAUUUCGGAUGCUAGCUAAUGGGUGCUUUGCGAAGAGUGCAAAGCUAACCUCUUCCUCUCCCACGGUUUGAACAAAUAUAUAGGUAUUUAUAGAAUUUUUUGGUGAAUUUUGAGUUAAAUAAUUUUUUAAUUAUUUUAGCCGUUGGAUUUAAAUUUGGGCCGUUAGAUCUUUUUUUUUACCGUUAAAUUUGAUUAUAUUCGAUCUCAGCCGUUGGAUUCAAUGUAUUUUAAAAUAACAUUUAAAAAAAAAAUUUAAUCUGGACCGUUGGAUCAACCAACAGUCCAAAAAUGUCAACCGUCGGAAGAACAAAAGAGUCAUUGGGCUCAUGAUUGUGGCCGACAGGGCCCUGACAGUGGGUCCCACCCUGUCGAGCGCUGAAGGCUUCAGCCCGAGUGGGGCAAGUUGAACAUGUGACGGGGCCAAGAUUGGGCUGGGCUUGGGUGAGUCCACGCGCAUGUGGGCUAAAUCUUGGGGGGAAUUUGGCUUGAGUUUAGCUUUAGCAUUUAGCCCAAAUAUUUGGCUUGGAUUGGGUUGGGUUUUUUUUGGGGGGGGGGGGGUUGGGGGGGGGGGGGGGGGGGGCGGGGGAGGGGAAUAAAUGGGGUAAUUUGACCUUCAGCCUUCAGCCUAAGGUUGGGUUUGGUCUAAAUAGGGACCCCUAUUGGAGAUGCUCUUAAGUUUUUUUGUAAUUAUGAGUUGACUUUUUUUUUGAGUUUUUUACUGUAUUUUCUUUCUUGCAAUUGGGUUUGUAUUUAAGUUGUGGGCUGUUUUGAGCUCUAUUUUUCUUGUACUAGUCUUUUUAUUUAAUAUAAAUAACUUGGUUUGACAAAAAAAAAAAAUUGAACCAGGUGGCUAAGGAAUUUGAGCUAUUAUUUUCGGUAUUUGUUUAAACCAAACUCCAAAUUAUUCGUAAAAGGAUGAAAAGUUAAAAAUAAAUAAUCGAGCAAGUCACGAUGAUCGAAUCCGUGGCCGUUUCCAUUAUAUAACAAGUAAGCAAAACUAGCUCUGCAAGUAGGAUAUUUUGAUAAGAGUUUUUAUAGUCGGAUAAGGUUAGGGAGAUCAAAUUUUUGAACUCAAUGAUAUAUCAUUAAUACGAAAUAAACACGUUAAUCAUUACUGAAGUAAUAAUUUAGUCAUCAACAUUCACAUCAUUUAGUUUGUAAAAUUUAGUUUAAAAAUUUGAUCUCCCUAACAUUAUCCGCUAGACAUCCACCAACAUGAAUGCGGGCCUCCUCGCUCUCACUAAAGCAUUCAAAGUAGAUCAUUAUUGCCAUUGAGGAUUUGUUUCAUCUCUCAUUUUCACUCAGUUAGUGAUAUAAAGGUUGAUGUUGG